UGGGAACGUACCUUUCGGUUCGGAAUAACCCGGGGAAACUCGGGCUAAUACCGGAUACGUCCGCAAGGAGAAAGAUUUAUCGCCGAAAGAUCGGCCCGCGUCGGAUUAGCUAGUUGGUGAGGUAACGGCCCACCAAGGCGACGAUCCGUAGCUGGUCUGAGAGGACGAUCAGCCACACUGGGACUGAGACACGGCCCAGACUCCUACGGGAGGCAG
rnacentral:rRNA from 1 species